rnacentral:misc_RNA from 1 species
AAGUCGUAACAAGGUUUCCGUAGGUGAACCUUCGGAAGGAUCAUUACCAUAACGCGGUCGCCCCGUGAUCCCCCCUUCUCCAAUUGCUGGGGGGUUAGGGCGGCCACACGCGUUCUCACCACCCUUGAUUUUGAGCACCUUCAUGUUUCCUCGGCAGGGACACCUGCCAGCGAGGACCCCCAAAAAACUUUUUGCAGUUUGCAGUAUUUGUCUGAAAACAAACAUAAUAAUCAAAACUUUCAACAAUGGAUCUCUUGGUUCUG